rnacentral:rRNA from 1 species
GAUGAACGCUAGCGGCAGGCCUAAUACAUGCAAGUCGAACGAGAUUAGUAGCAAUACUAUGAAAGUGGCGCACGGGUGCGUAACACGUAUGCAAUCUACCUUUAAUUGGAGAAUAGCCUCGAGAAAUCGGGAUUAAUACUCCAUAACAUUAUGAAAUGGCAUCAUUUUAUAAUUAAACCUCCGGGGAUUAAAGAUGAGCAUGCGCAACAUUAGCUAGUUGGUAAGGUAAUGGCUUACCAAGGCUACGAUGUUUAGGGGGUCUGAGAGGAUGAUCCCCCACACUGGUACUGAGACACGGACCAGACUCCUACGGGAGGCAGCAGUAGGGAAUAUUGGGCAAUGGAGGCAACUCUGACCCAGCCAUGCCGCGUGCAGGAUGACGGCCCUCUGGGUUGUAAAACUGCUUUUUAUACGGGAAGAAAAAGUACUACGUGUAGUAUAUUGACGGUACCGUAAGAAUAAGGAUCGGCUAACUCCGUGCCAGCAGCCGCGGUAAAGU